GACGAACGCUGGCGGCGUGCCUAAUACAUGCAAGUCGAGCGAACAGACGAGGAGCUUGCUCCUUUGACGUUUGCGGCGCACGGGUGAGUAACACGUGUAUACCCUCCCUAUAAGACUGGGAUAACUUAGGGACACCGGAGCUAAUACCGGAUAAUCUAUUGAACCGCAUGGUUCAAUAGUGAAAGACGGUUUUGCUGUCACGUAUAGAUGCAUCCCCGCCGCAUUAGCUAGUUGGUAAGGUAACGGCUUACCAAGGCAACGAUGCGUAGCCGACCUGAGAGAGGGAUCGGCAACAUGGGAAGUGGACCACGGCCCAGAUUCCUACGGGAGGCAGCAGUAGGGAAUCGUCCGCAAUGGGCGAAAGCUUGACGGAGCAACGCGGCGUGAGUGAUGAAGGUCUUGGGAUCGUAAGACUCUGUUAUUAGGGAAGAACAAAUGUGUAAGUAAAUAUGCACGGAUUGACGGUACCGGAUCAGAAAGCCACGGCUAACUACGUG
rnacentral:rRNA from 1 species